rnacentral:lncRNA from 1 species
CCUUCUGUCCUGCUCUAACCUGGCUUCUGUUAGUUGACUGGUUCCUGUUGCCUCAGCAACAAAGCAAUAAUGGAGUCAUUGAACGUCAUGGGCACCCACUGCGGGUCAAACUGGCUUUGUUAUCUGCCAGUGAGCAUUUGCCAAGGCAGCCACACACCCAGGGCCCGAGGAGAACUUCCAGAGUCACCGAGUGCCCCAGGCGUCCAGCUUGGUCUUUUGGCUGCAGACCCUGGAGUGCCUGAUGGGGAAGAGGAAGAAAGGAAGGAGGAUUUACCUCACUCUGUGUGUGCCUGGCACUUCACCUCAUUGUAUCCUCACAACCCCCUGUGCAGCAGUGUUAGGACUGUCUUGCCAGGCUGCAGAUGAGGAGGCAGCCGCUCAGACCGGGGAGUCACUGGCUGCGCUCACAGGUGCUCACAGGCUGGCAGAGGCAGGAUUCUG